GGCUCUGUGGCAUAAUGGAUAGUGCAUUGGACUUCUAAUUCAAAGGUUGUGGGUUCAAAUCCCCCCAGAGUCA